rnacentral:rRNA from 1 species
AAGCGUCUGCAGGUUGCGUUUUAAGUCUUUUGUUAAAUCUUUAAGCUUAACUUAAAAAUUGCAAAAGAAACUAAAAUGCUAGAGUAAGGUAGAGGUAAAAGGAAUUUCCAGUGGAAUGGUGAAAUAUAUAGAUAUUGGAAAGAACACCAAAGGCGAAGGCAUUUUACUGGGCCUUAACUGACACUCAGAGACGAAAGCUAGGGGAGCAAACGGGAUUAGAUACCCCUAGU